rnacentral:rRNA from 1 species
UACGUAGGGGGCAAGCGUUGUCCGGAUUUAUUGGGCGUAAAGAGCGUGUAGGCGCCAUACAGGUCCGUUGUGAAAACUGGAGGCUAACCUCCAGACGUCGAUGGAAACCGUAUGGCUAGAGUCCGGAAGAGGAGAGUGGAAUUCCGUGGAUGUAGCGGUGAAAUGCGCAGAUAUCAGGAAGAACACCCGUGGCGAAGGCGGCGUCCUCUG